UUUAAAAUAUUGAUCUGGCCUAUGGCCUUUUGCUUCAGGAGAAAUUGGCCCCACCCUCCCCUCCAAUGCUGGGCUGAAAUUGUCUAAUGGGAUUACCAGGUUUAAAAAUGAGCAUGACAUGGAAUGAAAUGGAAACAAUUGGAAGUUGGCUGGAGUGCUUCUGGAAAAAAUUUGCAGGCUCUUAAAAGAGAAUCCCAUGAGGAAUGAGCUGCUUCUUCCUUUGGACUUCAUUUUGUCUGGAUGUGAUAUGAGGCAUUGCAGCAGGAGUUACCACCAGCCUGAGGGAAAAACUACAUAUGAGAAUGGCAGAGAAAUGGAAAGCAGAUGCCUGAGGAUGCCACUGAGUGAGACAACCAACCUUGAGGAAUCUUGUUGCACAAGUUUACACACAUGGUUGAAGCAUGUUAUGAUGUACUUCAAGAUCCCAUUUUCAAAAGGUAUGUAAUAUUUAAAAUUGGUGUUUAGCACUUCCACGA
rnacentral:lncRNA from 1 species